rnacentral:piRNA from 1 species
ACUCCUGUCAUUCCUCUUACAAUAAGGUA